rnacentral:rRNA from 1 species
UACGGGGGGGCAAGCGUUGUUCGGAAUUACUGGGCGUAAAGGGCUCGUAGGUGGCCAACUAAGUCAGACGUGAAAUCCCUCAGCUUAACUGGGGAACUGCGUCUGAUACUGGAUGGCUUGAGUUUGGGAGAGGGAUGCGGAAUUCCAGGUGUAGCGGUGAAAUGCGUAGAUAUCUGGAGGAACACCGGUGGCGAAGGCGGCAUCCUGGACCAACACUGACGCUGAGUGAGCGAAAGCCAGGGGAGCAAACGGGG